rnacentral:rRNA from 1 species
AAUGAACGCUGGCGGCGUGCCUAACACAUGCAAGUCGUACGAGAAAGGGGCUUCGGCCCUGAGUAGAGUGGCGCACGGGUGAGUAACGCGUGGGUAAUCUACCCUUGGAUUUGGGAUAACUCUGCGAAAGUGGAGCUAAUACCGGAUAGUCUGGCUUUAAAUAAGAAGUCGGUAAAGGAUGCCUCUGCAUAUGCAUUCGUCCGAGGAUGAGCCCGCGUCUCAUUAGCUAGUUGGUAGGGUAAUGGCCUACCAAGGCAACGAUGAGUAGCUGGUCUGAGAGGAUGAUCAGCCACACUGGAACUGAAACACGGUCCAGACUCCUACGGGAGGCAGCAGUGGGGAAUAUUGCGCAAUGGGCGAAAGCCUGACGCAGCAACGCCGUGUGAGGGAUGAAGGCUUUCGGGUCGUAAACCUCUGUCGGAAGGGAAGAACGGGCAUUGGUCUAAUAGGCCUUUGUUUUGACGGUACCUUUAGAGGAAGCACCGGCUAACUCCGUGCCAGCAGCCGCGGUAAUACGGAGGGUGCAAGCGUUAUUCGGAAUUACUGGGCGUAAAGCGCACGUAGGCGGCCUUGUAAGUCAGGGGUGAAAUCCCACGGCUCAACCGUGGAACUGCCUUUGAAACUGCAGGGCUUGAAUCCUGGAGAGGGUGGCGGAAUUCCUGGUGUAGGAGUGAAAUCCGUAGAUAUCAGGAGGAACACCGGUGGCGAAGGCGGCCACCUGGACAGGUAUUGACGCUGAGGUGCGAAAGUGUGGGGAGCAAACA